rnacentral:tRNA from 1 species
GCCGAAGUGGCGGAAUUGGCAGACGCGCCAGGUUCAGGUCCUGGUCUUCGUAACAGAAGGUGGAGGUUCGAGUCCUCUCUUCGGUA